GCUGUGAUGACACUUUUGGCAUUGAUCAUCUGAAAUGAUGGUGCUUUCAUGUCCUCUAAGAAGUCCUGAGCUU
rnacentral:snoRNA from 1 species